rnacentral:misc_RNA from 1 species
CCGAGUUGUAACACUCACAAACCCACUGCAAACGUACCCAUUUUGGCGACUCCGGCAGGCGGCCCCAGGGCGGGGCCUCUCAGCCUCUUCAGGCGCCUGCCGAAGGUGCCGCAAUUUUACUCUAUAAAUCAUGUAUUCUGAGUCCUAAGACAAAAUAUCA